GCCGGUUUAGCUUAGUGGUAGAGCGUUGCACUUGUAUACGGGUCGAACAAAUACAAUGCAAAGGUCGGUUGUUCAAUCCAGCCAACCGGCA
rnacentral:tRNA from 1 species